UCUCCGUAGGUGAACCUGCGGAGGGAUCAUUAAAGAGUUCAUGCCCUACCGGGUAGAUCUCCCACCCUAUGUUAUUAUUACUUUGUUGCUUUGGCGGGCCGUUAGGCUCGGGCCCGACUACCGGCCCCGGCUGGUAAGCGCCCGCCAGAGGACCCAAAACCCUGAAUAUUAGUGUCGUCUGAGUACUAUAUAAUAGUUAAAACUUUCAACAACGGAUCUCUUGGUUCUG
rnacentral:misc_RNA from 1 species